rnacentral:rRNA from 1 species
AUUGAACGCUGGCGGCAGGCCUAACACAUGCAAGUCGAACGAGUGGCGGACGGGUGAGUAAUGUCUGGGAAACUGCCCGAUGGAGGGGGAUAACUACUGGAAACGGUAGCUAAUACCGCAUACCAUCGGUUCUGCCCAGAUGUGAUUAGCUAGUGGGUGGGGUAACGGCUCACCUAGGCGACGAUCCCUAGCUGGUCUGCGAGGAGGACCAGCCACACGUGAACGGAGACACGGCCCAGACUCCGACGGGAGGCAGCAGUGGGGAAUAUUGGACAAUGGGCGCAAGCCUGAUGCAGCCAUGCCGCGUGUAUGAAGAAGGCCUUCGGGUUGUAAAGUACUUUCAGCGAGGAGGCGUUACUCGCAGAAAAAGCACCGGCUAACUCCGUGCCAGCCGCCGCGGUAAUUC